rnacentral:snRNA from 1 species
AGCUUUGCACAGCGGCAAUAUCGUAGCCAGUGAGUUUAUCCGAGGCACCAUUGUUGUUAAUUGAAGAAAAAAAAAAAAAAACAGC